AGAGUUUGAUCCUGGCUCAGGACGAACGCUGGCGGCGCGCCUAACACAUGCAAGUCGAACGAGAGAUGAGGAGCUUGCUCUUCAAAUCGAGUGGCGAACGGGUGAGUAACGCGUGAGGAACCUGCCUCAAAGAGGGGGACAACAGUUGGAAACGACUGCUAAUACCGCAUAAGCCCACGGCUCGGCAUCGAGCAGAGGGAAAAGGAGCAAUCCGCUUUGAGAUGGCCUCGCGUCCGAUUAGCUAGUUGGUGAGGUAACGGCCCACCAAGGCGACGAUCGGUAGCCGGACUGAGAGGUUGAACGGCCACAUUGGGACUGAGACACGGCCCAGACUCCUACGGGAGGCAGCAGUGGGGAGUAUUGCACAAUGGGGGAAACCCUGAUGCAGCGACGCCGCGUGGAGGAAGAAGGUCUUCGGAUUGUAAACUCCUGUUGUUGAGGAAGAUAAUGACGGUACUCAACAAGGAAGUGACGGCUAACUACGUGCCAGCAGCCGCGGUAAAACGUAGGUCACAAGCGUUGUCCGGAAUUACUGGGUGUAAAGGGAGCGCAGGCGGGAGAACAAGUUGGAAGUGAAAUCCAUGGGCUCAACCCAUGAACUGCUUUCAAAACUGUUUUUCUUGAGUAGUGCAGAGGUAGGCGGAAUUCCCGGUGUAGCGGUGGAAUGCGUAGAUAUCGGGAGGAACACCAGUGGCGAAGGCGGCCUACUGGGCACCAACUGACGCUGAGGCUCGAAAGUGUGGGUAGCAAACAGGAUUAGAUACCCUGGUAGUCCACACCGUAAACGAUGAUUACUAGGUGUUGGAGGAUUGACCCCUUCAGUGCCGCAGUUAACACAAUAAGUAAUCCACCUGGGGAGUACGACCGCAAGGUUGAAACUCAAAGGAAUUGACGGGGGCCCGCACAAGCAGUGGAGUAUGUGGUUUAAUUCGACGCAACGCGAAGAACCUUACCAAGUCUUGACAUCCCUUGACGAUGCUGGAAACAGUAUUUCUCUUCGGAGCAAGGAGACAGGUGGUGCAUGGUUGUCGUCAGCUCGUGUCGUGAGAUGUUGGGUUAAGUCCCGCAACGAGCGCAACCCUUAUGGUCAGUUACUACGCAAGAGGACUCUGGCCAGACUGCCGUUGACAAAACGGAGGAAGGUGGGGAUGACGUCAAAUCAUCAUGCCCUUUAUGACUUGGGCUACACACGUACUACAAUGGCGUUAAACAAAGAGAAGCAAGACCGCGAGGUGGAGCAAAACUCAGAAACAACGUCCCAGUUCGGACUGCAGGCUGCAACUCGCCUGCACGAAGUCGGAAUUGCUAGUAAUCGUGGAUCAGCAUGCCACGGUGAAUACGUUCCCGGGCCUUGUACUCACCGCCCGUCA
rnacentral:rRNA from 1 species